UACGGGGGGGGUAAGCGUUGUUCGGAAUUACUGGGCGUAAAGGGCUCGUAGGCGGCCAACUAAGUCAUACGUGAAAUCCCUCAGCUUAACUGGGGAACUGCGUGUGAUACUGGAUGGCUUGGAUUUGGGAGAGGGAUGCGGAAUUCCAGGUGUAGCAGUGAAAUGCGUAGAGAUGUGGAGGAAUACCGAUGGCGAAGGCAGCCCCCUGGGAUAACACUGACGCUCAUGCACGAAAGCGUGGGGAGCAAACAGG
rnacentral:rRNA from 1 species